GGGCUGCAGCUCAGUGGUAUAGUGCCUUCCUCACACAUGGGAGGCACUGGGUUCGAUCCUCAGCAUCACA
rnacentral:tRNA from 1 species